AUGCUAUUAAAAUGUAGGUUCUUCAUCCGCAUUUGGAAAGCUGCCAAAUCUUGGAUCGGGAUGCCGGAGAUUGCCACCACAGCUUGGCAGACGCUUCCCUCGGUCCACACUUGGCGAGGGACCAUGGGGCUCAGGGGUGGCCAUAGAAGACGCUCAACGACAAUGCUCUUGUUGUUGGUUGUCUGGGAGCUAUGGAAUGAAAGAAACGCGACGAUUUUCAGAAACAAAUCCACCAUGUUGUCACUUAUCAUCGAUCACAUUAAGAAUGAGGCCAAGGAUUGGAUCUUUGCACAGGCUAAGCAUUUGAGUUCUAUCAUGCCGUGUGAAUAG
rnacentral:rRNA from 1 species